rnacentral:tRNA from 1 species
CGGGGUGUGGCGCAGCUUGGUAGCGCACGUCGUUCGGGACGACGGGGCCGCAGGUUCAAAUCCUGUCACCCCGACUA